AGCAUAUCAAUAAGCGGAGGAAAAGAAACCAACUGGGAUUGCCUUAGUAACGGCGAGUGAAGCGGCAACAGCUCAAAUUUGAAAGCUGGCCCCUUCGGGGUCCGCGUUGUAAUUUGUAGAGGAUGAUUCGGCGAGGGCUCCGGUCUAAGUCCCCUGGAACGGGGCGUCAUAGAGGGUGAGAAUCCCGUAUGUGACCGGUUGCCUUAGCCAUGUGAAUCUCCUUCGACGAGUCGAGUUGUUUGGGAAUGCAGCUCUAAAUGGGAGGUAAAUUUCUUCUAAAGCUAAAUACCGGCCAGAGACCGAUAGCGCACAAGUAGAGUGAUCGAAAGAUGAAAAGCACUUUGGAAAGAGAGUUAAAAAGUACGUGAAAUUGUUGAAAGGGAAGCGCUUGCAGUCAGACUUGUCCGCGGUUGCUCAGCCGGUCUCUUGACCGGCGUACUCUUCCGCGGCCAGGCCAGCAUCAGUUCGGGCGGUCGGAUAAAGACCUCGGGAAUGUAGCUCCUCUCGGGGAGUGUUAUAGCCCGGGGUGGAAUGCGGCCAGCCUGGACUGAGGAUCUCGCUUCGGCUAGGAUGCUGGCGUAAUGGCUGUAAGCGGCCCGUCUUGAAACACGGACCAAGGAGUCUAACAUCUAUGCGAGUGUUUGGGUGUCAAACCCAUACGCGUAAUGAAAGUGAACGGAGGUGGGAACCCUCACGGGUGCACCAUCGACCGAUCCUGAUGUCUUCGGAUGGAUUUGAGUAAGAGCAUAGCUGUUGGGACCCGAAAGAUGGUGAACUAUGCCUGAAUAGGGUGAAGCCAGAGGAAACUCUGGUGGAGGCUCGCAGCGGUUCUGACGUGCAAAUCGAUCGUCAAAUUUGGGUAUAGGGGCGAAAGACUAAUCGAACCAUC
rnacentral:rRNA from 1 species